rnacentral:rRNA from 1 species
UGCAGUCGUGCGACGGCUCGCCCCAAAGGGCGGGUACGGAGCGGCAGACGGGUGAGUAACACGUAGCUAACCUACCCGUCCGCCGGGGAUAACCCUCCGAAAGGGGGGCUAAUACCCGAUGGUCUUCCGGGGCGCAAGCCUACGGAAGUAAAGGCGCUACGGCGCCGCGGGCGGAGGGGGCUGCGGCCCAUCAGCUAGUUGGUGGGGUAAUGGCCCACCAAGGCGAUGACGGGUAGGGGGCCUGAGAGGGUGGCCCCCCACACGGGGACUGGGACACGGCCCCGACUCCUACGGGAGGCAGCAGUGGGGAAUCUUGGGCAAUGCCCGCAAGGGUGACCCAGCGACGCCGCGUGCGGGAAGAAGCCCUUCGGGGUGUAAACCGCUUUUCUGGGGGAAGAAUAAGGCGGGGAUGGAAUGCCCCGCCGAUGACGGUACCCCAGGAAUAAGGGACGGCUAACUACGUGCCAGCAGCCGCGGUAAGACGUAGGUCCCGAGCGUUGCCCGGAUUUACUGGGCGUAAAGUGCGCGUAGGCGGUUCGGCAAGUCGUCCGUGAAAGCCCGGGGCUCAACCCCGGGAGGCCGGGCGAGACUGCCGGGCUAGAGGACGGCAGAGGAGGGUGGAGCGGCCGGAGUAGCGGUGAAAUGCGUAGAUACCGGCCGAAAUCCCGAUGGC